rnacentral:rRNA from 1 species
UGGUCAUUUAGAGGAAGUAAAAGUCGUAACAAGGUUUCCGUAGGUGAACCUGCGGAAGGAUCAUUAACGAGUUUUGAAAUGGGUUGUAGCUGGCCUUACGAAGGCAUGUGCACACCCUGCUCAUCCACUCUCAUACCCCUGUGCACCUAUUGUAGGCUUGGUGGGAAGACUGGUGUCACAACCAGUCGGAAAGCCUUGCCUAUGUUUUAACACAAACACUUCAGUUUUAGAAUGUCACAUUUGCGUCUAACGCAUGAAAUACAACUUUCAGCAACGGAUCUCUUGGCUCUCGCAUCGAUGAAGAACGCAGCGAAAUGCGAUAAGUAAUGUGAAUUGCAGAAUUCAGUGAAUCAUCGAAUCUUUGAACGCACCUUGCACUCCUUGGUAUUCCGAGGAGUAUGCCUGUUUGAGUGUCAUGGUAUUCUCAACCUCUAAAGCUUUUGCGAUAGAGGCUUGGAUGUGGAGGUCGUGUUGGCGCAAGUCAACUCCUCUGAAAUGCAUUAGUGUGAAUCUUACGGAUCGCCUCCAGUGUGAUAAGUAUCUACGCUGUGGUGUUGAAGUAUAUAGGCAUUCAUGCUUCUAAUCGUCUCUUCAUUGAGACAAUUACUUGACAAUCUGACCUCAAAUCAGGUAGGACUACCCGCUGAACUUAAGCAUAUCAAUAA